UCCCACUUUCAAAUAAGGUGAUCCUAGUUUUCCUGUUUGGGAAUAUGACAGCUUCAUAAUCAUUCUAAUCAAACCAGGAUGAAUUGCGAUGUAAGAAGCUUGAUUUUGAUACAUAAAGUAAUGGAGAAUCACUAGGAAGUUGAAUAAAUCUCAUAGGAGUUAGGAUGAAGAAGCUAUCCCACUUUCAAAUCAGGUGAUCUCAGUUUUCCUGUUUGGGAAUAUGACAGCUUUCUUGUCAUUCUAAUCAAACCAGGAUGAAUCGCGAUGUAAGAAGCUUGAUUUUGAUAUAUAAAGUAAUGGAGAAUCACUAGGAAGUUGAAUAAAUCUCAUAGGAGUUAGGAUGAAGAAGCUAUCCCACUUUCAAAUCAGGUGAUCCCAGUUUUCCUGUUUGGGAAUAUGACAACUUCCUUGUCAUUCUAAUCAAACCAGGAUGAAUCACGAUGUAAGAAGCUUGAUUUUGAUAUAUAAAGUAAUGGAGAAUCACUAGGAAGUUGAAUAAAUCUCAUAGGAGUUAGGAUGAAGAAGCCAUCUCACUUUCAAAUCAGGUGAUCCCAGUUUUCCUGUUUGGGAAUAUGACAGCUUCCUU
rnacentral:lncRNA from 1 species